rnacentral:rRNA from 1 species
UACGUAGGUGGCGAGCGUUGUCCGGAAUUACUGGGCGUAAAGGGAGCGUAGGCGGUCUCUUAAGUGAGAUGUGAAAUCCCCGGGCUUAACCUGGGAAUUGCAUUUCAAACUGGGAGACUAGAGUGCAGGAGAGGAAAGUGGAAUUCCAAGUGUAGCGGUGAAAUGCGUAGAGAUUUGGAGGAACACCAGUGGCGAAGGCGACUUUCUGGACUGUAACUGACGCUGAGGCUCGAGAGCGUGGGGAG